rnacentral:guide_RNA from 1 species
AAACCAAACAAAUCAAAUAAAAAUAU